rnacentral:pre_miRNA from 1 species
UCGUGUGGGAAAGGUCCAACCUCACAUGUCCUGUAUUGCUGAAGGAGGGAUAUAUGAGGUCAGACCUAUCCCACAGGG